rnacentral:rRNA from 1 species
UGGGGAAUAUUGCACAAUGGGCGAAAGCCUGAUGCAGCGACGCCGCGUGAGCGAAGAAGGCCUUCGGGUCGUAAAGCUCUGUCCUAUGGGACGAUAAUGACGGUACCAUAGGAGGAAGCCCCGGCUAACUACGUGCCAGCAGCCGCGGUAAUACGUAGGGGGCGAGCGUUGUCCGGAAUGACUGGGCGUAAAGGGUACGUAGGCGGCCAGGUAAGUCAGGUGUGAAAGUCUAGGGCUCAACCCUAGUGAGCACUUGAAACUGCUUGGCUUGAGUCGAGGAGAGGAAGGUGGAAUUCCUGGUGUAGCGGUGAAAUGCGUAGAUAUCAGGAGGAAUACCAGUGGCGAAGGCGACCUUCUGGCCUUGGACUGACGCUGAGGUACGAAAGCGUGGGGAGCAAACAGG